GCGCCCAUAGCCCAAUUGGAUAGAGCGUCUGGCUACGGACCAGAAGGUUGGGGGUUCGAGUCCUCCUGGGCGUA
rnacentral:tRNA from 1 species